GGGCCCAUAGCUCAGUUGGUAGAGCGUUUCGUUCGCAACGAAGAGGUGGCGGGUUCGAAUCCCGCUGGGUCCA
rnacentral:tRNA from 1 species